rnacentral:rRNA from 1 species
AUUGAACGCUGGCGGAAUGCUUUACACAUGCAAGUCGAACGGCAGCACGGGGCAACCUGGUGGCGAGUGGCGAACGGGUGAGUAAUACAUCGGAACGUGCCCAAUCGUGGGGGAUAACGUAGCGAAAGCUACGCUAAUACCGCAUACGAUCUACGGAUGAAAGCGGGGGAUCGCAAGACCUCGCGCGAAUGGAGCGGCCGAUGGCAGAUUAGGUAGUUGGUGGGGUAAAGGCUCACCAAGCCUGCGAUCUGUAGCUGGUCUGAGAGGACGACCAGCCACACUGGAACUGAGACACGGUCCAGACUCCUACGGGAGGCAGCAGUGGGGAAUUUUGGACAAUGGGCGCAAGCCUGAUCCAGCCAUUCCGCGUGCAGGAUGAAGGCCCUCGGGUUGUAAACUGCUUUUGUACGGACGAAAAGGCUUUCUCUAAUACAGGGGGCUCAUGACGGUACCGUAAGAAUAAGCACCGGCUAACUACGUGCCAGCAGCCGCGGUAAA